UGGGGAAUAUUGGACAAUGGGCGAAAGCCUGAUCCAGCCAUGCCGCGUGUGUGAAGAAGGUCUUCGGAUUGUAAAGCACUUUAAGUUGGGAGGAAGGGUUGUAGAUUAAUACUCUGCAAUUUUGACGUUACCGACAGACUAAGCACCGGCUAACUCUGUGCCAGCAGCCGCGGUAAUACAGAGGGUGCAAGCGUUAAUCGGAAUUACUGGGCGUAAAGCGCGCGUAGGUGGUUAGUUAAGUUGGAUGUGAAAUCCCCGGGCUCAACCUGGGAACUGCAUUCAAAACUGACUGACUAGAGUAUGGUAGAGGGUGGUGGAAUCUCCUGUGUAGCGGUGAAAUGCGUAGAUAUAGGAAGGAACACCAGUGGCGAAGGCGACCACCUGGACUGAUACUGACACUGAGGUGCGAAGGCGUGGGGAGCAAACA
rnacentral:rRNA from 1 species